CAAUCCCCUCCCAUCAUAGAACCACAUCUUCGAGUGCCGCCGUGCCGCGUGCUUUUUCCCAUCGUAGAGCGGCACCACGUCGGGGUUCAUCCCCAAUCGCAACAUGAGCGAUCCGGAGGUGGAGACGCUGCGAGUCUGCGAUCCCAUUCAUCAGCAAGCCACAUCCCUGUGAUCCCCUGUUUCUUCACUGUUUUAAAUUAACAACUCUGUUUCUUCACUGUGGUCGCAAUGUUAGAUCCAUUUAGAUCCCCCGUGAGCUAAUUCAAAUCUUUUUUGCAGUCGUUUGCAUUACUUCUAUUGCAACCCAUCUCAACAUAUCUAAUAGAUUUAAAUCGCAUUGUGAAUCUACCAGUUACUUAAUGGAGCUACUUAUCACACACUAGCGGAGGACGCGGUAUGACGAGGUCGGGCGCUCGCCCUAACUUCAUUCUGGCCGUAUGCGUUCAGGCGUUUGUUAAUCCCUGGAUGGUUAGUAACGCUGCUGGAUCAUUUGGAGGCAGAAAAAAGAAAGGGGAAUGAGAGUUGAGCACUUCUUCAGUAGGCACUAGCGCAGGCUGGUUCUGUUUCACACUUCGCCGUCGCUGCUUCUGUUUACAUGUAGUAUAAAUUAAACAAGAUCAACAAGAAGAUAAUUGAGCCAUAAUCUUGAAGGAAUGGCUGAUCGCAAAAACCUAUCCUCUAGCAUUACCUUCUAGAUUGCAUGAACAUAAAGUUGAAAAGAUUGGUAGUGGAUAUACACUGAUACUUUCAUACUCCUUUUGGUCUUUUAAGUGCUAAUUUGAAGUUAGUGGUAAAUAUUUACUAUAAUUUGUUGCUUGAUUUUGUAUUUGGGAUCUCUUUACUCCCAUAUUAAAAUUAUAAAUCUUAUUAAAGUAUAACAGUAUUUAUUUUAGAGUUCGCCUUACCUCAAUUCUUUUUCGUCCUCCGCCACUGUUAUCACAUAUCUAGUUUCAGCUGUCUUAUUUUGCUUGUAUCAUGUAAGUUUGUGGCCAGUAGAUUAUUCACCUUUGCAGUUGCAACUCUGUAUUUAGUUACUCAAUACUGAGUGAUCAGUUCCAGUUCCUUUAUCUGAAUGAAUUAUAACAUGACACAUGACUCAAUGUAGUAUGGGUUCAUUCAGAGCCUGAUCUCAGUUAACUCUUGGCUUGAUGCUAAUGUCUAUUCAGUAACAGUAGCAAGAAUGAUAAAAGAGGAUACGGAUAUGUUUUCGUUUGUGAUCUGCCUGUAGGUUUUUCCAGAGUUAAAAUUAGAUGUUUUUAAUACAUUUUUGUGCUAUCUGUCCUUUUGUUUUUUUGUAUCAGAUUAAUCUUGCACUUCAAACCUAUUCCAUUAUAGUUGAACAUUGUGUCGAGUGUUAGAGUUGAUAUGUCUUGUUUAAAGUUCUGGCACUCUGUCUUAUUCUUUCAGAAAUAUCAUUAGCCUCUGAUGUCUGUUUAGCAAAAAAUGAAUCUUAGUGUACAGUAAGGAAAGGCUAUGUUGUCUUUACAAGGAUGGAAAGUAUAACAGAAUACAGAAAUAAACGUGGACAAUCCAGAUCCGGUACUCAAGGGCAAUCUGAUACUCCAGUGUCUGCUAAUGACAUGUGUGUCCUCGAUGAAUGGCCAUCCCAUGCUGCUGCUACUGUGCGCACCUACAUGAUGAAGCAGAUGGACAGAACAAGAAGAAACGGCGAGGUGUUCUAAAAGGAAGCAAAGAAAUAGCUGGAGAGGGUACAAGUAAUGGGAAAACACACCUACACAUACGUACUAUACUGUACAUCAUGGAUAGUUUAGUCUUACACUUAAUUAGGAUGGCUACCCAUUUACUUGAGCUUCCUUUGAUGAAUAUUUGCUAUGAGUAUUUUGAUUUGUAUGAACCUACAUAUUAUAUGUAUGGUUUUAAAUUUGUAAUUUAAGUGCUCUUUUUAUGAU